GACGAACGCUGGCGGCGUGCUUAACACAUGCAAGUCGAACGGAAAGGCCCUGCUUUUGUGGGGUGCUCGAGUGGCGAACGGGUGAGUAACACGUGAGUAACCUGCCCUUGACUUUGGGAUAACUUCAGGAAACUGGGGCUAAUACCGGAUAGGAGCUCCUGCUGCAUGGUGGGGGUUGGAAAGUUUCGGCGGUUGGGGAUGGACUCGCGGGUUAUCAGCUUGUUGGUGGGGUAGUGGCUUACCAAGGCUUUGACGGGUAGCCGGCCUGAGAGGGUGACCGGCCACAUUGGGACGGAGAUACGGCCCAGACUCCUACGGGAGGCAGCAGUGGGGAAUAUUGCACAAUGGGCGGAAGCCUGAUGCAGCAACGCCGCGUGCGGGAUGACGGCCUUCGGGUUGUAAACCGCUUUCGCCUGUGACGAAGCGUGAGUGACGGUAAUGGGUAAAGAAGCACCGGCUAACUACGUG
rnacentral:rRNA from 1 species